rnacentral:lncRNA from 1 species
UGGCUGCUGACAACAUCUGUCAGAAAUAAAGCCGAGAAAUAACGAAGUCUGGUUCAUGAAUGAAGUGUGUGUCAAGCACCCGCAGAGGAGCUGGUGGCUGUGAAGUGCCCCCUGAAGGCAGCAGGGGGGUCCUGCCCACCUCGGAGGAGGAGAGGAGGACAUCCAAGAUCCCCACCUCACCAUGCCCACCGACCUCAUCCCUCAGUGCCACGUCUCCACAGCAGCCUUGUCCGGCCUCACAGCGUGUAAAGGAGCAGCUGGGAGAUGCUUCUACUCUUGCCCUCUGUAUACCACAAUAUGUUCCAACGUAAACAGUCACUGCCCUCUACUGUUACUCAUAACAAAUUGUCCAGGACAAAAUUCUCUUCUUUUUUCCCCAUAG